rnacentral:lncRNA from 1 species
CGAGUCUGAAAGGGAACGGCUUGAUAUUAUGCUGGAUCGCACUUAUGGGUUUGAUGCACGACGGGAGUAUAAAUGCAAAGAAGAGUUGGGCAAUCGAUAUCCCCAAUGCCGAUGUCAUUGGUGUAGAGGAAUCGACCAAAAUCAAUGUAAAGAUAAGCAGAUAAAGAAUUUUUCCACGUCCAAUUCCACCCCUGGAGCAAGGUCAUCCCAGGCUAGAAGACUGAUACCUCCAAUCAUUGCUAUCCUUACAACAAAACCUGAGCAUCACACAAAUAAACAGAGAAAAGUAUGUGAUUUCUUGAUAAGAAAAAAUCCUAAAUUUCUCACAAGAGAGGUUGAUGCAUUGAAAGAUACGAAAGGUCCUAAAUCUAAUGAGAAAAAAGUAGCUGUAUUUAUGGAUCAACCUGCUAAAAAUGAAAAGAUAAGUAGGGAUAUGCCUAAUAAUGUUAUUGAUAGAAGGAUAGAUGAUUCUAAAUAUAAGAAUGAAGAAAUUUACCUUUUUAUCAAUCAUAAGGAAAUGUUAACUUUUAGCAUUAUUUAUGUUGAGGAUAAUGUUGAAUUUACAAGUGAUUUACUCCUAAUGAGUAAGGAAGAGCAUCCAAUAACUAUAAUCAAAGGGGAUUUGAGAUUGAAUGAGAAAACAAAGAUAGUGGUUUCUGAUCAAAACAAAGUAUUGAUGGUUAAACAUGAAUCAUCUUUGUUAUCAUCGAGUGAGGAUAAGUUAUUGCUUUGUUAUUGAGUGGGAGAUUCCAAUAUCAACUCAUAUAUUUUGUGCUGAAAGAAACUAUGGGCUGAACAUAGGACCUAUCUUAGUUCAUUUCAAAAUUCAUAGCCGAAUUUUUUCAAGUUCUUUUGAUAAUUGAUUACAAUGUUCUAUGGGGAUUGAAAUCCAUGGUCUUCAAUCUUUCCUAUCUACUUGUGCUAGUAUUUUUACAUUAGAGUGUCGCAGUGAAAUUGCGGAGCAUGUAGUAGAAACCAAGCAAAUAUAUGUUAAAAUUUUGAAAUUUGGACCCGUAAUUCGUUACAAGAGACCUAGUCUCAUUUCCAUAGAUUCAAUGUUCACUCUUGCAAAAUAUAAAGGUUAGGCUUCUUACACGGUUGUUUUGAAUGGAGAUCCUCAAGUUGUUUUGAUAAGGAGUUAUGUCAGAAAGUUUCCUACUAUACUCUUCUAUGAUGUUGAAACAAGCUAUUCUAAUCUCCAUAUUAUUAUCAGUGAGUACUUAUGCUUGAACUCAAGAAAUUAGUUUUGGGUGCUCUUGGGUGAUCAAGUUUAUGGCUUGAAAAUUAAGUUGGGUUUAGACACAUUUUUUAUAGGGUGAUGUAUGGUCCUCUUUUGAAAUUUUACUCAACAAAAGCGGCAACAAUUGGAAUUAUUUAAUGGAAGGGGUCUCACAACAAUGGCUUAACCUUCGACUACAUUGGCUUGAUCUCUCACCAUCGGCUUAUGCCUUUGAUGGCAGUAAAGUAGCUGCUUUAAUUUUUGUCAAGAAGCUUGUAUCUUCUAGUGUGAUCUUGUACGAGCUUCUUGUUGAUCCAUGUUUGAAUCUUGUUGGGCCUUUUAAUAAGCUCAAUAUGGUUUAUGGUUAUGUGAGAGCGAAGAUGUUGGUACUUGUGAAAUGACUUAUACAAUUGGGGUCUUUAAUUUUGGAAUUUACAAUUUGAAGUUGCUAAUGAUUUGUGUGAUGUCUGAAUCUCACUUCUUGGAAGAUUUUUUGAAAUCAAUGAAGUUUAAAACUUAUGCUGCAAUCAUAGAGUCAAUUGAUAUUUGCUUAUUUCCAGGAUAAUUCUUUUAAAACCAGACAUGGAAGAAAGAAAUUAUUUAAGGGGGCGGGGGGCGGGAGAGAGAGAGAGAGAGAGAGAAACGUGGGUUAUAGAGAGAACAAAUUUAUUUAAGAGGGGUGACAUCCCAAUUAGAAGAGACUUCUAUAUUUUUAUAGAUAAUUCCUAUGAAUGAAGAAAAUAGAGUUUCUUCUUCCCAUGGCUUAAUUUAUAACCACCUUUUGCCCUCUAUUAUUGCGGAAUUUUUGCUUUUUUAAGAUAGAAAGAAUGCCAGAUUUAAUUUCUCGGACUCCUUUCGCAUCAGCUAUGCUUCCAAGACGGGAUCAAUAACAUACCUUAUCUCACAUUAACGGGAUGCUUAAGAUACAAGUUCAAGGGGAAAGGAGAUAAAGAGAUGAGAGUAGGGCAUGCCCUCUUGAAGAAAAUUGCAAGUGAUUAAGAUGAGAGGAAAGAAGAAGAAGAAGAAGUGUGAAAUGAGAUGGGAUAUGUCUUAUUUAUAUAGGUUCCAAGUGUGGGCUUUAAUCUAGAUUAGAUAUUGGUCAUCCAAUGAGUGAUCCAAGAGAUAAGAGAGGCUAAAGAACUAGCAUUACCAAUCAACAUUGGUAGCUAUCAUAUGAAUGGUGAUGAUUAUACACAUCCUUAUCAUCAUGCCCGUAAGACACCUCCAAUUUUUUCAUAAUUACAAAGUGCCCUUCAAACCUUAAUUUUGUUUUAAACAAAAUCUUGUAGACACCCUAUAUUUAAAAUUGACAAAUUCUAUGAUAUUCUUGAACCUUUAGGGCCACAUUAUCCCAGUAAACCCCAAGACCAUAAACCAUCAUAGUUCAUAAGGCUUACCCUGUGAUCCAAAAUCCUACAAAAUAUCCUUUUUUAGUAACAAAUCAUUAAAAAUAGCAAAACAUCUCAUUUUGACCCAAAUUUUAGCAGGUAGCAUCACAAGAGCCUGUAGAUCCCCCCAAAAGUGGAAUCUACCGAUUUUGGGAAUAUUUGGUCCCAGACUGACCCAAAUCGUCAAAUUUUUGGUAGGCAGUAUAUCGACAGGCCUAAAAUCAGCCCAGACAGGAAUCUACUGAUUUUGGGCAGAGUUGAUUUGGACGACACUACCAAUGUUGCCCGGGCGACACUACUGGUGUUGCCCAGCCCAAGCUAACCCAAAUCGCUGAUUUUUAGCAAACAGCAUCUCGACAACUCCAAAAUCACCAUAGACUGGAAUUUGCCAAUUUUGAGCAAAUUUGGUUUGGGCGACACCACCCAGCUCCAACUGCCCCAAAUUAGCAGUUUCCACAUGCCAAACCCUCCCGAGUCAGUUUUGGUCAGGUUCAAUUAAUCUAGACCAUUUUGGUCUGGGCAACACUAGUAGUGUCGCCCAAGCCUUGGACCACCAAAAUGGCAGUCCAGGCCGGGAAAUCUUCUAGUUAUAAUUUGUUACCCAGUCCAGACGAUUUUUCAGCAUAUAAAAGGGUAAUUUUGGGAUCAUUUUAGGUGAGACUCUUUAGACCAAUAAUAGCUGGUGUGCUCAAAGAGACCUGAGAAAAACCUAGACCUAGGAAAACUUUAGCUUUAGGACACUUGCAACCCUUAGAUCAAGAAAUCCAUCCAACCAAGCCAAGGCCUGGUCAAAACCUGAAUAGAGACAAAGAUAACACACCUCAUAAACUCAGCAGGUCCUGAUACGUGCGAGGCCUCAAAGCCUCGGAAGUCCUGGGCCAACUGACUUGGCCUAGUAUUUUUACUCUUUCUGCAUUUAUUAUUUUUAUUAGAAUUAAAUCAAUUUUAUUGCAUUUUACAUAGUGUUUCAUAUUUCGGAUCAAUGUUGGUUCUGCCACUGAUCUGAGAGAAGAUCUGCUCACUUCUGAGUAGAUAUGGCCUCAUAUCAGACUUUGAUUGUCCCUACUCUCUAUUACUCUUUUAAAAAAAAUCAGUUUGUAGCUCGGAUCUAGUCGAAUCUCAUCUUGAGAUCGUCAUGAUUUGCAUUCUAAACAAAUCUCAAGCAUCCAUUUUGAAAACUUUUAAUCACAACCACAAAAAUCAAACUCAAAAUGUAAGAUUCAUAUAUGGGGAGCAUGCCACCCUCUCUCUCCAUCUAUUUUGUUGAGUUUUGCACUCUACUUUAUCUCUUAUGAAGUGUCACUUUCAUGGGGGACAUUAUAUCAUCAAAUGUCAUAAUGUUUCUCAUUAUCUUCUCACCACCAAUCACAUGAUUUCAUUUAUAGAAAUCAAUUUACCACUAAUAACAUGAUUUCAAAAUAAAUAUAUUUUGGAAAUUUCAUACAAUCACAUAUGUGUAUGCACACAUACCAACCCACAUGUACUCCACACAUGUACUACAAAAUCCUAUGCAUAUCAACUUUAUGUGCACUAACCAAACAAGGCAUUCACACCAAAGAUCCUCAAGCCAUCCUUAUCAUGCCCAUAGGGCAAUGGCAUGCUUGUCCAGUGGAUGCACAUGUGACACAUAUUGGCCAUUUGUGUGUCAUAGAUCACACAUGCGAACAAUCCUUAUUUGAAAUUACCAUCUAUGUUGAUCUUACAGGCUAUUGAUUCCAUUUCCAUGGCCUAAGAUUCUCUCAGAAAUUCUUUUCAGUUAAAGGAUUAAUUUAAUUAGGUUGAUUUUUUUAUCAUUCUUUUUUUCAUCUCCUCUUAUUAUUUUUGAAAUUUCUCCAGCCUUCGGAUGAUAUUUUUUACCUAACUUUUGGUUUUUUGAGUUUCUUUCUCUAACCUUGCCUUUUAAAUCUCUAGCUCGUUUAUCUAAUAAUGUCUUUUAUCUCUCUAUGGACCUUUAUUCGAUCACAGUUAAACAACUUAUCAAACAAGUAUCCUAAAACUUCCAAGUUCCAAAAAGCCCCUAACUUUCCAUUAGCAAAAAUGAGUCAGUUAUCUUACAAGCCCUAUGUCCUAUGUAAUACCAAGAAGUAUAUUCACAAUACAAAAGGCGAGUCAGUUAUCUUACAAGCCCUAUGUAAUACUAAGAAGUAUAUUUACAAUACAAAAGGCGUUGGAGUCGUGGUGGUAGCACCCCCAAACUUUAGUUACACGUUGUGGCUUUUAUUCUCCUAUACCAUAAAAAACUACUGACCAUUUCCAAAAUGGAUAGAAGCUUUUAUUCACCACCGAAUUAUAAAUAAAAAUACAAAAUAAAUAACAAUAUUAUAAGAGCCAUCCUGAAUUUAAUUUACAGUUGUGUUGUAGAGAAACAAAAUAUGGGAUCACAUGGCAUCCAUGUGGUUCGCGUGGCACAUGUAGGUUAUUGUCAACUGUUCUCUUUGAUGAAGGUGAAUCAAUGCGGAGGACUGCAUCCACGUCGCACAUCAUUGAGAUAUACGGUGGAUACCACGAUUUAGCAUACACACAGCAAGCUCCAUGAUACCCAACAAUCAAAACCCUUUAAUGGGCCCUAGAACAGUUAUACUACACCCACUAAAACAAUUGCCAAGAAUAACCUGGUACACCACACCACAAUUUGGUAAUUCUCGUGUAAUUUUCUCCAUUAUUAUUAAUUUCAAUAUUCAAUAGGAGAAAUGUCGUUUGAAGGCACAAGCUAAACAUAUAUCAUGGAUGUCAAUCACGGCUUUCUACAAAGAGGCAUUCAAUUGUCCCCGACAUUGUCCUCAGUCAUAUGCUAUAAAAAUAUCAUGGAAAUCUAGAAGAAGCUUGCACUGAGCCCUCAUAUGUUGACAUGAUCAUGGCACAAGAUAUAUUUUAUAAUAAUAGAAAAAGUAUACAACUACCAUAAAAAAAUAUAAAUAAAAAAAUACAAAGAGAGCCGUAAAGAGGUUGCAAUCACUCUUGCUUGUCUGAUUUUCAUUUGAAUAGUUAUGAGUGUGCCAUUAACUAAACUCAAAAUUCAAAAAAAAAUAAAAAUAAAUAAACCUUCUUAAAUACAAAAAGAUCCACUAUGCCAUGUCCAACUUACAUUGGUCUUUCCUGCAAUUGGACUCACUUCCAGCUCCCACUAUUCUCUCUCUCUUAUUUAUCCUUUUGCAUUUAAAGAACCCUUGCAAUGUAUGAAAAUAAUAAAAUUUUAUAUCUUUUGCAUAUUAAAAUAGGAAAAGUGGGAAGAAUAGGUUACCACUCUCAAUAUUUAUAUUUAAGUUAGCAAAAUAAAUGAAGCUCCAAUCAAGAACUAUUCAAUACUUCUAUUUAAAUGCUAGAAAGAAUGGCUGGAUAACGCACAUAAAUAAGUUUAAAAUAGAUAGUGAAGAAGAGCCCCAUCGAGUAGCAGCUUCUCAGGCGACAUGCCUUGUUCAUUUGGGAACAUCGAAGCUUUUCUUAUGUCCUAAAUGUGCUAUAGAGAGAGAGAAAGAGAGAGAGAGAGAGAGAGAGAGAGAGAGAGAGAGUAAAAGUUAUUUAGUUGUAGUAUAUAACGUAACUAACGAAAGUAAUAGUGUCGUACGUAAGUAAAGUCGACGAAGGAACGGAACGAACGGUAANNNNNNNNNNNNNNNNNNNNGAAACCUUACAAAGAAUUAAUGUGCCUGAAAAUGCAGAGGAACAGGAACAUUCUUAUUAUGUAAAUAGUCACAGUCUGACAGAAAUGGAGAGAAUGGUAGACAUGGACAAUGACAUGACUAACUAAAACUGAAACACAGAGAGAGAGAUUAGAGAGAGAGAGAGAGAGAGAGAGAGAGAUGAGAGAGAGAGAGACUCACAAUGUAUUACUCAUAAAGACAAGGUUUUCAAAGGAACCAGAUGCCAAAGGUUCUAAGUUGCCCUUGUGAGCCAAACAAAUGGCUCAAAAGAGGGAUGAGAGAGAAAGGCAAUGGAUGAUGCAGGCUCCUCAUAAAGAAACCAGUCAAUCACAACAAAUCCUUCCCCUCCAUAGAAACAACCAUCAAUCUCUCUCUAAAACCAACAUUCAAUUCGAGGGAAGCAAACAAGAAAAACCAGACCAUUGCCCUAAAACAUUUAGCCAUGGCCACAGGGGCCACAGCUUGGUGCACUUUCUCUCACUUCAUCUUGAAUUCAGAGGACAUAUCCAAGAGGGGCAUGGUAGUGAUUUAUUGGGGGGAGGCAGUUAUAUGUUGUGGUGAUGGAGUGAAAAGUAAUGAAAAGGUUG